rnacentral:rRNA from 1 species
AUUGAACGCUGGCGGCAGGCUUAACACAUGCAAGUCGAACGAGUGGCGGACGGGAGAGUAAUGCUUGGGAAUCUAGGUUAUGGAGGGGGAUAACUAAGGGAAACUGUAGCUAAUACCGCGUAACAGAGGAUGAGCCCAAGUGGGAUUAGGUAGUUGGGGGGGUAAAGGCACACCAAGCCGACGAUCUCUAGCUGGUCGGAGAGGAGGACCAGCCACACUGGGACUGGGACACGGCCCAGACUCCUACGUGAGGCAGCAGUGGGGAAUAUUGCGCAAUGGGGGCAACCUGACGCAGCCAUGCCGCGUGAAUGAAGAAGGCCUUCGGGUUGUAAAGUUCUUUCGGUAGCGAGGCGUUAACUACAGAAGAAGCACCGGCUAACUCCGUGCCAGCCGCCGCGGUAAUAC